UCUUGUCCCUCGGGGAGUCCAGACGGCUGGGCUGAGAGUCGGGAACCACGGUCCCGAGACCCUAUAACCUGAUGCGGAUCAUGCCGCCGGAGGGAACGGGCGAACCCUUUUC
rnacentral:ncRNA from 2 species